UGUCCAGUGACAUGAGCCGCUUCCACCAUGCUGCCUAUCAUUGAGGACUGAGACUUCUAGCGUGCUGAUGCUCCUCUGCCGGGCUCCUCUGCCCUGCUGCCCUGUUUUCGAGCCAGCAGACCAUGGACUGAACCUUCUACAAACUAGUAACUCUACAAGGAAUUCAUUUCACAGAUGAAACGACUGAGUCCAAAGAGAGGCAACUGACUUGAAUAAAGGCCCAUUAAGCAGAACCCAGGUCAAGAAUCUGGGAGUAGCUUAUCUUCGUGCUCCUGGCUCGGUGGCUCUCUUGAAGGCAUACCCAGAUGGCCUGGAGGCUGCAGAAGUCCGAAGACUUGGGUGGGGCUGGAAAGCUCGCUUCCAAGAUGGCUCCCUCACGGGCUGUUGGAGGGAGGCUUUGGGCCCUUGCUGUAUGCGUCUCUCCAGAGGGCUGGUCAGAUGCCCCCAUGACAUGGGAGCUGGCUUUCUCCAGAAUGAAUGAUCUGUAAAAGCA